UCUCUUCCUCUCUCUUUCUUUCUCUAGGGUUUUAUUAUGGGCUUUUGCUAGCUUGGAACUAGAGUUGGAUCUCUGGCCUUGAAGUCGGAGAUGCACAGGCCCCUGCUUGGCCGGGCCUGCAGAGUUCUGCGGUACACCCACCACACCGCACACUGUUUUACACUCCUCCACCGCUCACUCUCUAGCCUUCUCCCUGAGUCACAGCGAGAGGUUAGAGGGCCCUCUGCUGGCUGAAGGGUGUAAAGAUUCUACAUUCCCUUGGAGCCUCACGUCUCCCAUGCCCUGUGGAGUAGGGGGCUGCAGUGCUCACAGUGGUGAAGGACUGGGGCUGAGCUGGUUCCUCUACACCCCACUUCCCAUUUGUGGUAUGUAUGUAGGUUUUAUGUACAUUUGCAUGUAUGUGCAUGUGACUGCAUGUGUGUGGGCAAGUGCAAGUGCACUGAGGUGUAAGUGGUGCAAGUGUGGAGGCCUGAUGUUAAGGUCAAGUGUCUUCUUCAACUGUUGCCCACUGUUUACUGAGGCGGGGCCUCUCACUGAAACCCAGAUACCCAGCUUGUCCUGGGGAUGCCUUCUCUCUGCCUCCCAAGUACUGAGAUUCCAGGGUUCUGAGGAGGUGGACACCUCACACGUGCAUGGCACUGGCUUUAUCCACUGAGCCAUCUUCCCCACCCCCAGCUGGCUUCUUACCUCCCGGUACUCAUUAACGUUUCUGUAAAUGUUGGUGUUGGGGAUCUGACCCAAGACGAGGAUCUUGGUUCUGGAAGGAAAUGUACUGGUCUUAGGUCCCUGUGCCCUUGCCCUGCACGCUGUCCUCACAGACAGAGGCUGAGUACCUGUGCGAGCGGACAGUGAUGACAAAGAACGUGAAGACCAGGGAGAUGAGCAGCCCAACGUCUAGUCCCAGGAAAAUGGCAGCGGAGAAUGUCACCAUCCAAACCACCUUGUGGGAAAGGGUUGGAGGGCAAAGAGACCUUGAAAAUGAGUGGAAUGGAGAGGUGCAAGGAGCACCUCAGACAGCUCGGCCCUAGAGGCUGUCUAGUCUCUGAUGGACUCCUGAUCAUCUCUCCCGCACUUCUUCCUCACAGGAUCCCAUGGACAAAACGGAGACAAUGUUAACUACGCUGUCAGAUGGUAGGUCGGUGGACAUGAGAAAUCAGAACUCACUGAAUGGUAGGUAGUUAAGCACUCGCAAGGUAUUAUAGCUAUUUGUUUUUUAGAUUUUAUUUAUUCUAUGUGUGUGUGCCCGCAUGUGGAGGCCAGAGGAAGUUUGUUUUUUGAAAUCGGGUCUCGCAUUGGCCUGGAGCUCCAGGUGGGCGAGGCUGGUGGCCAGCAAGCCCUAGGGACACAAUGCCUUUGCCUUUCCAGCCCUGGGAUUCUAAGUCUGUGCCACAAUGCCUAGCUUUUUUAUGUGCAUUCUGAGGUCUUAAGUGUCAAGCUCCUCUGGCCGAGCCUUUGCCCGUCCCUUUGAGAUGCUCAGAGAUGCUGUGGUGCUCUGCACUCCUGCCUGAAGCUCAGCUCUGGCUGGCUCUGCUCCAAUCCCAGCUCUGCAGGGGCGUCUGUACUCACACAUUCAUACUGGUCCUGCCUCCACAGGGUGGGUAAGUUGUAAAUGGUUUCCAGGUAGGGCACCACAUUGCUUAGAAUGAUCCCUGCCAGCACAGCCUGUGGGGAAGACAGAGUGCUUCACUCUCCCUUCAGGGACACAGUUCCCAGUCCUCUCUAGGGAACCGCAAGCACCAGUCUUGCCUCUGGCAAUACGACAUGGUUUUCAUGUCAACAGCACACCCGAACUCUGACUUACAGUGCAGAUAAAAGCUCUUUCCAGUUCUCUCCACUAUUCUAGUGUGUCAAGACCAACAGGCAAGGCUACGCCAAGGUCAGAGCUGACUCAGCCAGCCACAGCUGAGCCCGUUUGUGCUUGCUUUCUCAGAAAGCCCAGUACAGCAGAACAGACAUGGUGGGUCAGUAGAGAGAGCCUGCAUAGACAAAGUCAAGUAUGGCUUCUUCCCACCAGCUGUUUUUAAUAAGUUGAUUUUACCUAAUCUUUUUUAAAAAGACUUGCAUAUUCAUAUAUUUUUACAUGAUGAGCACUGUCCUUCAGACACAGCAGCAGAGCGCAUCGGAUCCCAUCACAGAUAGAUGGUUGUGAGCCACCAUGUGGGUGCAGGGACCUGAACAGGAGCUUGUAAGAGCAGCCAGUGCUCUUGACCACUAAGCCAUCUCUCCAGACACUCUGCAAACAGACUUUAAACAGUGUUAGAAAGGUGUGGUGGAACAGACAGCAGCUCAAUUUCACAGGGGUUGGGAGAAUCCACCCCCUUUCUUAUUCACUUUUGUAUCUUGUUACACUUUUUUAUUUCCAGACAAGGUUUCCCUGAGUAGCCCUGGCUGUCCUGGAAUUUACACCAUAGACCAGGUUGGCUUGGCCUCACACCGAGACCUGCUCUGCCUCCCAGGUGCUGGGAUUAAAAGCAAGCACCACUACCACCUGACUGAAUUUUCUUUUAACCUGAGGUAAGAAAUAUCUACAGGAAACAAAUCUUACCAUAAAGCCAUGUACAGCAAAGCUGUGUCUUUUCUUAAAUAUUAAGGUAAGACAUUCAUUUCAUUAACAAAUAAUUACAGGGGCUGGAGAGAUGGCUCAGUGGUUAAGAGCACUGACUGCUCUUCCAGAGGUCCUGAGUUCAAAUCCCAGCAACCACAUGGUGGCUCACAACCAUCUGUCAUGGGGUCUGAUGCCCUCUUCUGGUGUGUCUGAAGACAGCUACAGUGUACUCAUAUAAAUAAAAUAAAUAAAAAUUACAAUCCUAUAUAAUAUUAUUUUUAAAAACCUUUUUUGUUUCCUUAAGACAAGGUCUUUCUAUGUAGCUCUGGCUAUCCUGGAGCUCACUACACAAACCAUGAUGGCCACUCUCCUCCUGUCUCUGUGCAUGCUAGAAUUACCCAUGCAUGUCACUGUGCCUAGUGACUGUGUAAUCUCAACCAUCACAGAGGCAGCUGCUGCUAGCACUCUGGUAUGUUCUCUAUGACUUGGGCAUGAACCUAUAGUACUGCUUAUAGUCCCUUGGUUCUGGUUGCAAUACACACACAUAAUAUGGAGGGGUAGGUCAUGCCUCAGAUAAAGGGAAGAAGGGAUACAUUUAAACAGAGACACAUACACUUGAACACAGGGCCCAAAGCCAACUUGCAGGCCUGCUCUAAGGCUGUGAAUAAUCAGGAGGCUGUGGGACAGCAAUGGAGGAACAAAGUUCAGACACAGGCAGAAAAAGCAGAUGGCACGGGCAUGCAGCAAGUGUCUGAGUCUCUGUGGCCAUGGGCUUCCUACAUCUGAAUGUGUCAUUCCUCACCGAAUCCCCACCCCUGAAGCAAAAUUACAGCUGAAUGAGGACAAUCCUGACUGUGUUUCCUGACCACUCUCUCUGAGCUCCACAUGGCCUUGUUUUACACAGAGACCUGGAUCCUGCAUGUUUAUGGUGCAAUGAAGACACAACGGGGUCACUGCUGUGUGUGUAAGGGGGUGCACCUGUGCCUGCACACAGAGGACAGAGGAAGACUUAGGUGUCCCACUCUGUCACUCCUCCUCAUCUUCUCCUGAAGCAAGCUCUCUCACGGAACGGGGAGCUCACUUAUUAUUGUUUUAAGCAAGGCUGCCCAGUCAGCAGGACCUAGCAACCCUCCCAUCUCUGCCCACUUCCUUCCAGCACUGGGUCACAGGAUAGUAGCCACAGCUGGCUCUGACAUGGGCUGGGUGUCUGAACUUAGGCUCCCGGGCUUGUAGGAAAGGCAUUCUAAUCCCUGCUGUCUCCCUGGCUCCCAGACGUUACUUUUCUUUCUUUCUUUUUUUUUUAAUUUUUUCUUUUUUUCUUCUUUUUUUUUUCUUUUUUUCGGAGCUGGGGACUGAACCCAGGGCCUUGCGCUUGCUAGGCAAGCGCUCUACCACUGAGCUAAAUCUCCAACCCCUUAAGUUUAUUCUUAUAUUAGUACACUGUUGCUGUCUUCAGACUCACCAGAAGAGGGCAUCAGAUCCCAUUACAGAUGGUUGUGAGCCACCAUGUGGUUGCUGGGAAUUGAACUCAGGACCUCUGGAAGAGCAGUCAGUGCUCUAACCACUGAGCCAUCUCUCCAGCCCCCAGAUGUUACUUUUCAAUAAAACUGCUGGAACCACCACUGGGGACCAUACAAAUGCACUUCUCUGCAUGGAUGUUCUAACAAGGUUCCAUCUUUCUUUUUUUUUUUUUUUGGUUCUUUUUUUUCGGAGCUGGGGACCGAACCCAGGGCCUUGUGCUUCCUAGGCAAGCGCUCUACCACUGAGCUAAAUCCCCAACCCCGGUUCCAUCUUUCUUUAAGAUUUGUUUUUAUGUGUAUGAAUAUAUUAUGGGGUGCCUGAGGAGGCCAGAAGAGGGUACCAAAUCCCUUGGAUCUGAACUUAUAGACUGUUGUGAGCCCCGGUAGGUACUGGGAAUCAGUCCUCUGUGCUCCCCUGGAAGAGCAGCCCACUGGAAGAGCACUUAACCACCGACCCAUUUCUCCAGCCCCGCCUACCCCCAGAUCCCGUCCAUCCAUCCACCUGUCCGUCCAUCCAUCCGUCCGUCCAUCCGUCCGUCCCGACCCCCCCCCCCCCCCCGCUUACUCAGCCCCACUCACGUUCGGCAGGUUGUCGAAGAAGCUCCCUAUCUUCACCAUCAGCAGCAGCAUCACCCCUGCGCCCACCAGAGAGGCAAACUGAGGAGAUAGAGCUGGUUGAAGAGAACGCGUCAGGCACGCGUUGGUCCCUGUCUGCAGCUGUGGCCGUCUGUUUGCUGAGAAGCAUGCCAGUUUUUUCUUAAAAGGGAUGGGGGAGUUCAGCACCCAUGCCUUUUAGGCUCUUAGUGAAAUAUUUGACACACAGUAGAUACUUCAUAGGUGUCACAUGAGUGCUGUCUAGGGGCUUCAGUUUUCUCUGGAAUUCUUAUUGUCACGGCUGGGGACUAUGAAUCUCCUAAGAUACAGCUUAUGUGUCUCAGCUUCCAAAACUUCAGCCUCUCCUCACACAAGUUAGAAACUCUUCCCUCAACAGACACCUCACUGACAGCCCCAAGUCCCCUCCACUCGACUUCCUGUGUAAUAAACGUCCCACCUGCUUUUAUGUGCUGGCGUGUUGGCGGCUCCCCACCUUCAGUGAGGAGUCGUCUUUUCCUUGCUUUGUAUUUGAGACAGGAUCUCAUGAUGCAGCCCUGGCUGGCCUGGGACUCACUCUGUAGACCAGGCUGGUCUUGAACUCAUAGAGAUCUGCUUGCCUCUGCUUCCUGAGAGCUGGGAUUUAAGGCCUGUACCACUAUACCUGGUAUAUGUUAUCUUUUUAAAGGUUGUUUUUAUUUUUAUUUUAUGUGGAUGACCUUUCCUGCAUGUGUGUAUGCACACCGUGUCCAUGCCUGGUACCUGAGGAGCCCAGAACUGGAGUUACAGACGGUUGUGAGCUACCUGAAGUGGCUACGAGGAACCAAACCCAAGUCCUCUGUAAGAGCAGUGAGUACUCUUAGACACUGUGCCAUCUCCCCAGCCCCACGAUAGGGCUGGGGACACAGGAUGUGCUACCAGACGCCCCUCCCAAUAACUUUUAAGGACAGAAAUCUGAGCAAAAAUUAAGGCGAGCAAGGAAUCCAAACUCUUCCCAGAGGCCCCCACUAACAUUACAGCAUGAUCGACCCAGAUGGAGCCCUUCUACGAACAGACAUGCAGAUAGCCAAGAGGACAGAUGUGCAUCUCUCUGCUCACGCGAACAUCUAGGGGGACAACACUUGUAUGGAUUUAAGGAGGUUCAGCGUUUCACAUGCUCGGAGACCUUAUGUGAUUACAGUACAACUCAUGGUCCAACAGACGCUGGUUAAGAGGAACGGAACCUGCACGUUGGAGGGAGAACAAUCACAUCGGAUAACAGGACACGUGGGCCCUCACCUGGUUGGAAUUGGUUCUGUAGUUGUGCAAGUUGGCAAUCUUCUUGCCCAGAGAUAUGAGCAGAAAGGAGCUCACUACAGAUAAAGACAGGGCUUGUAAAACAAUUCUGCUAAGAAUGCCAAACUCUGGAGUCUCGGGGAACACAAAGCUGGAACAGAAGAGUGGAAUUACUGCGGGGGUAGGAAGUCCCUUACUGCACCUCCCUCUCUGUCCCCAUGCCAGGCAGACCUCAUGUUCCCUCCCCACCUUUUUUUCCUUUUUAACAAAGGACAAACAGCAAUGGAGGUGGCCGCUUGUGAAAACAGCCAAUGAACCAGGCCAAGGGACAAAGGCUCUCAAACAACAUCCUCUGUGGUCCUCUGGUCCUUGUUCCCAGCUUACAGUGAGGGCAGAUAACAGGUGUGAGUGCAGGAAAACGCUUCUGCUACUGAGGACAUCCUGGGGUGUGUGCUGCAGGUUGACCCCACACCUAAGAUGCGUUAGAACCAAAAGGCUCACAAGUCCUUCUCUAGUCACAUUCUUUAGGGCAGGGUCUCCUCAGUGCCCUUCACUCAGGCACACACAAACCCCACACACACCUUCUCCCUUACAGCUUUUGUUUGCUUGCUUGCUUUUUGUUUUUUACUUGUUGAAUCAGAAUGUCAGGUAGCCAGGCUGAUCUGGAGUCCCUGGUCCCUGUCUAAACCUCCUCAGGAGGAGAUAUGGGCACAGCAGGAGUUAGGACACAGUGUCUGAUUUCACCAGUUUCUGGCAGCUAUGGAUAAAUGAAAAAGGUCAACAUUUAAGUCGGAGUUGAAAUGCUCCUGCUCUGUGUGUGCCCUUGAACCUUGAUGUGGGAGCCACACUGAAGAAUCCAGACCGGGCUGAGAGCCACCUACUCACUGACCACCAAGCUCUCCACUAAGCUUCAGUGGGACCGAUCCCUGGGGCUCGCAUGGGAUAAGGAGAGAAGAACCAACGCCCAUAGUUGACCUCUGACCUCUGCGUGAGUGCUGUGGCAUGAACCUGCCCCCCACACCACAAUGUAAAAACAAAACAAAAAAUGUUUUAAAAAAAAUUCAAGUUAGCUGGGCAGUGGUGGUGACACCUUUAAGGCCACCACUCAGGAGGUAGAGGCAACCAAUCUCUGUGAGUCUGAGGCCAGCCUGGUCUACAGAGGGAGUUCCAGGACAGCCAGGGCUGCACAGAGAAACCCUGUCUUUAAAAACCAAAAGGAAGGAAGGAAGGAAGGAAGGAAGAGAAGGAAGGAAGGAAGGAAGGAAGGAAGGAAGGAAGGAAGGAGGGAGAAAAGAAAGAAAACGCAC